GGCUUGGUGGAGCAGACUCUCCGCGCCGGCCGAGAACAUCUCCCCGCCACGUUGAUGCCUAGCUCACAACUGGGUUGGCCACUUAAGCGUGCGACUUCCGGGGUCGCGUUAAAUGGUGCAUCACGUGAGCUGGGCGUACCUCGGAUCCGCCCGGUGCGGAGUGUGGCUGGAAAGCAGCAGCGCACUGACUGCGACUUGCAGGCUGCAACAAGAGUCCGGGCAUUUUCCGAGGCAGCUACAGCAACUGUUUUUGAGAUGCAAGUGACAUUUGAAGCUAAGGCCUCCUGACUGAACACCCCCGACCUCACCCUCCGUUUUUUAAAAUUUUGAGACAGUGUCUAUGUCCCUAGGUUGCUCGGCUGGGCAUGAACUUGGGAUUCUCUUGUCUCAGCCUCCCAGAGUGCUGAGAUUACUGGAGUGCACCAAUGCUUCUGGCUAGCAAUGUUUGGUUUAAACCUUCCUUUAGCGUAUGUCAUCGGCCACACGGACUGCUUUAAGAAUCAUUCAAACCCCAUCAUAUUCAUAGGAUGUCGCUGUGUUUAUCAGAUGAGGCACCAAACUGAGUUCUACAUGCGUUGGAUGCCUGGGUUGUGCUGAGCCCUGGCGAUAGAAUUCCACCUGCAGAGUGUGUGCCACACUGGACAUUCCAGCUGCCACAACCCACAUAACACGCUCCGCCGCCUGCAUUGAGCGAUGGUACAAAAGGGAGUCCUCUCUAGGGCCCUGGGGUCUGAGAUGGGCUGAAGGCUUCGGAGGGGCCGCCCAGGCACAAGACGGAGGGUAGGAUAACCGCCUGCCUCCUGUGGCCACAAGGUGGAGGAUGGGUGGGAAGGGAGGAUGUGCUGAUGAGGAAUGGAGUGGACAGAUCCAUUUACCAUUCAGAGGUGCGAUUUGUAGGCCCUGGUGAUCAGUGGAUUUGGGGAUUGAAGAAAUGGAAAAAAUCAAGGACAACAGCAGGUUUCUAUUGGUCACAAUAGAAACUCGGUAUGGGAGCAGAAAAGGAAAUUUGUGGAGAUUUGGGGUGGGGAGACAACGGGGAAGGGUAAGGGAAAUAAAAUUGAUUAAGAUGUGAUACUCUUAUGUAUCAGUUCCCCAAGGUGAAUGUAAUUAUUAUGUAUCGAAAAUAUGUUCCUAUUUUAAAAACGAAGUUUGCACAGUCAUUCUUUUAAUGAGCAUCUGUGAGCUCUGGCUGGGUCAGGAAGUCUUGGGUGAGGCAGCAGAGUAGUAUAAGUGGGGGUGUGACGUUUUUUGAGGUAGGGAGAGCAGGAAGGGAUAAACAUUGAGAAGACACCACGGUGGGAGAUGAGGAGAGGGGCUGAGGCCUGGGAAAUACCUGGGCAGGUUCCACACAUGCUUUUGAGAUGUCCUGGCAGCGUCCUGGUAGCUACUUGAGAUGUCGCUGGUUCUUUGGGGUUUUUUUUUUUUGUUUGUUUGUUUGUUUGUUUUUUUGGUCUUUUCAUUUUUUUUUAUGGGUACCAGGGAUCGAACUCACGACUGCCUGCUUGCAAGGCAGGCGCUUAUGCCACUGAGCUAAAUCCCCAGCCCCUGAGAUGUUGCUGGUGAUAAGGAGAGACGGGAGCCAGCUGCCAAGCAAGGCCAAGUGCUGGGGGUUACCCAUAGAACCCUGAGGAGCCCCAUAUUGUGGAAGGGAACUGGUAGAGAGCACAAUCUGUGGGAAGCCUUCUGUUUAAGGUUUGUUAAGACCUACUUGUAGUACAAUGCUCAAAUCUUAAAUGAGCUCAGCAAGUUUUUACAGUUCCAUCAGUAAGCAUAUUAACUGGCUCAGCUCGUGGGGGACCAAUUUCCAUCUAGAUUAUUGGCAAUUCCCUGGUGGCACCGAGUGUCAAUGCCCACCAUCAUCCUGAUUCCCCCAGUGGCAACUAGUAUCCUCUGUCCACACUCCAUGCAGGACUUUGCCUGUCAUGUUCUCUUAUCAAUAUCUGUUUCCAAAUUUUAUAAAUAAUCACAAGACACACAGUCCUGUGUCUUUUACAGGGACGUGCACUUGUUUCUCUGGUACAUACCCAGUUCCCCAGGCCUCUCACUUUUGAGAACCGUGUUCUAGUGAUUGAUCAAUCUCUUUCUAUCCCUCCAAACAUUACGGGAUGAUAUUGGACCUGUUACAAAACUUACAUUUGUGUAAGAUGUUAUCUUAAGAUGUUAUUAAUGAAAAAGUCCUACUCAAAAACAGAAUUUUAAAAAAUUAAAGAUAAAAAUUAUGCUAA